ACUCCUACGGGAGGCAGCAGUGGGGAAUUUUGGACAAUGGGCGAAAGCCUGAUCCAGCAAUGCCGCGUGAGUGAAGAAGGCCUUCGGGUUGUAAAGCUCUUUUGUCAGGGAAGAAACGGUGAAAGCUAAUAUCUUUUGCUAAUGACGGUACCUGAAGAAUAAGCACCGGCUAACUACGUGCCAGCAGCCGCGGUAAUACGUAGGGUGCAAGCGUUAAUCGGAAUUACUGGGCGUAAAGCGUGCGCAGGCGGUUUUGUAAGUCUGAUGUGAAAUCCCCGGGCUCAACCUGGGAAUUGCAUUGGAGACUGCAAGGCUAGCAUCUGGCAGAGGGGGGUAGAAUUCCACGUGUAGCAGUGAAAUGCGUAGAUAUGUGGAGGAACACCGAUGGCGAAGGCAGCCCCCUGGGUCAAGAUUGACGCUCAUGCACGAAAGCGUGGGGAGCAAACAGGAUUAGAUACCCUGGUAGUCCC
rnacentral:rRNA from 1 species